rnacentral:sRNA from 1 species
GCGGGUGGAUCCUGGGAAGCGCUUUGAAAUGGGCUGGCUCCCGAGCCAGCCGGGAGGACACUUACUACAGCUACUCAGAAGCACCGCUGGAAACUCAGGUAAUACCGGCACUUUGAAUUCCUUGUUUCAGGAAAAUAUCUGGGAUGUCACAGUGGAAAAACAGAACAGAAUAUAAUAUAGAAAGCUCUUUUCAGAUCCAAAGAACUGGAACCUGGUUGGAAGAAAUAGGCAGCAAAGUUCAUGUGCGCUGAAGUGUUCAGACCAAAAAGUUGCUUUAUAACAAUGGACAAAAGCAUUUGUGAAAGGUGACAAUAAGAGAAAAGGGGAAAAGAACUUUCUUAUGAAUCAUACAGAUACGGGGAAAAAAACAGGCAUGUUUAGAGAAAUGGAACCAAAUUUCAUGGAGUGGUGCCUGGAGCAGACCUACAGUGGAGAAGGAGCUAU